GCUUCAUAAAACAUGUUUGCUGUAACAUCUCCGUGGAUCUGCGGGACUUUACUGUCUGUCUCCUUCGUGGGCUUUACCUGUGCAGGGCACAAAAGCAUCACAGCUGAGUCUGGGCAGGAUGUCACUCUGACAUGUGGAGCUCCAAACAAGAACAUCAUAGUGGUAGAGUGGAGCAGAACUGACCUGCAGCCAGAUUAUGUCCUCUUGUACCGGGAUGAUCUGUUUGUUCCAGACAACCAGCAUCCAUCUUUUAAGAACCGGGUGGAUCUGCAGGACAGACAGAUGAAGGAUGGAGACGUGUCUCUGAUUCUGAAGGAUGUGACGAUUAAUGACACUGGAACAUACGAGUGUCGUGUGUUCAUGAGAGGAGCAAACCGCAGGAAGAGAGCUCAUCUGAAGACUAAGCCAAUCACCACCAUCAGCUUAAAUGUUUCUCCAGGUCAGACAGGAGGACACACAGAGGAUGGAGGGAAGGAGGAUGGAUCUGUUGGACUGAUUGUUGGUUUGGUAGUUUCUGCUGUGCUUCUUGUUGCUGC
ensembl:lncRNA